AUGAGCACCCCAAAUUCCCAAUUCCAUUCCCACCCACUACUGCGGCUGUGGUUGCCAGUAAUCCAACUAGUCAUCUUGGCCGCCGCGGCUGAGCAGCAGCAAGGUUGCCGUGACAAGUGCGGCCACAUCAGCAUCCCCUUCCCUUUCGGCAUCGGCCGCGGCUGCUUCCGCCAUGGCUUCGAGGUCGUGUGCAACGACUCCUCGUAUCCCCCUCGCGCCUUCCUUGCUGGCAAAAGAAUAUCCAGGUUGUCGUCGUCCCCACUGGAUCCCGAGAACGGGAGCGAUUGGUCCUUCUCGUCGAUCGAGCUUGUGAGCAUAUCAGUCGCCACGGGCAAGGCACGGGUGUACGCCCCGGUCUCGUACCUCUGCAGCACAAAUCUCAACAGGACCUUCUCCGCGAUCUACAAUAUUCACUUGGCCCACACGCCGUUCGCCGUGUCGGCGACGCGCAAUAUUCUCGUCGGCGUCGGCUGGAGAGUCGAUGCUUUCGUGACUUUCAUCGACUUUCCGCUGAGGUGGCCGUAUACGGUCAUGUUCGCCUGCAGUGCUCGUGCACGCAAUCUCCUGCCAAGUGUGACCCCAACAAACGGGUCGUGCACGGGGAGGGGCUGCUGCCACACCACCAUCCCACCGGACAACAACCUCGGCAACUUGUUAAGCUUUUCUGUCAAGGGCGAGGUCCCCAACGAGCGGUGGGAAGACUACCCGUGCUCCUACGCCAUGCUGGUGGACAAGUCAUGGUACAACUUCUCUACGCCAGACAUGGAGGGCAACAGGACGCUACUCAAAAGGUUCCCCCGGGGCGUCCACAUCGCGCUCGAUUUCGCCGCCGGGAACACUUCGUGUCCGGCCAAGGGACAGCCACCCCCUCCGGACUACGCCUGCAUCAGCGGCAACAGCUCUUGCGCCAACUCAACACAUACUCCUGGCUAUAUCUGCAAGUGCUGGGACCAUUACGCUGGCAACCCUUACAUCACUCACGGAUGCCAAGAUAUUGAUGAAUGCAAGCUCCCGCAUGUGUAUCCCUGCUCAAAUGGCGGGAUCUGCAAAAACAGGCUCGGAGGCUAUGACUGUCCAUGCAAGUUCGGGAUGAAAGGCGACGGCAAAGCGGGAACCUGCUCAGAUAUAUUCACUCCAGCGGCCAAGGCGGCUGUGGGUGCCAUUGGCGGUAUUCUUCUGAUGGCUGUUUUAUCAUUUCUUCUUAUUCUUCACAAAGAGAAAAAGAAGACGGAAGAAUUCUACAAAAAGAAUGGUGGCCCUACAUUAGAGAAGGCAGAUGUCAUUAAACUUUUCAAAAAGGGGGAGCUCAAGCCAAUUUUGAGGAGUAGUAACUUAAUUGGAAAAGGUUACUUUGGUGAAGUUUACAAGGGCCUUCUUGACAAUAAAUUAGUUGCAAUAAAGAAGCCGAUUAAUGGUAGUGUGCUAGAGAGUGAACAAUUUGCAAAUGAAGUCAUCAUCCAAUCUAGAGUCAUUCACAAGAACAUUGUCAGGCUCAUUGGUUGUUGCCUUGAAGUUGAUGCCCCUAUGCUGGUCUACGAGUUUAUCUCUCAAGGUAGCCUCCUUGACAUCCUUCACAACAGUAAUAACAAGGUGGCCCUCAACUUGGAUACACGUUUAAGUAUUGCAGCACAAUCAGCGGACGGUCUAGCUUAUAUGCACUCAAAAACAAAUAGUACAAUUCUACAUGGUGAUGUUAAACCAGCAAAUAUACUCCUGGAUGAUAACUUUGUUCCCAAGAUUUCAGACUUCGGCAUAUCUAAGUUGAUUCAGAGAGACAAGCAACACACUGGACAAGUCAUCGGCGACAUGAAUUAUAUGGAUCCAGUAUAUCUACAAGAAGGCCGACUCACUGAAAAAAGUGAUGUCUAUAGUUUCGGAAUUGUGAUCCUAGAGCUUAUUAGUAGGAGGAGGGCCAUACAUUCUGAGAAUAAUAGCUUGGUAAAAGGCUUUCUUGAAGCACAUAAGAAACAGAAGAAAACGACUGAGUUUUAUGACAAGGAAAUUGCAAUAACAAAAGAUUUGGAGCUUCUUGAUAGUCUGGCAGAUAUAGUCGUGGAAUGCCUUAGCCUUGAUGUAGACCAAAGACCAACGAUGAUGGAGGUAGCGGAGCAACUGCUCGUACUAGGCCGGUCUCGUAAAGCGUAG
rnacentral:rRNA from 1 species